rnacentral:rRNA from 1 species
AGUACCGUGAGGGAAAGGUGAAAAGAACCCCGGGAGGGGAGUGAAACAGAACCUGAAACCGUAAGCUUACAAGCAGACAGAGCGCCAUAGGAGUGUGAUGUCGUACUUUUUGUAGAACGGGCCGGCGAGUUACGAUGUGAUGCGAGGUUAAGUGUUAAAGACACGGAGCCGAAGCGAAAGCGAAUCUGAAGAGGGUGAGAAGUAUCAUGUCGUAGACCCGAAACCGAAUGACCUAACCAUGAGCAGGUUGAAGCAAUGGUAAAACGUUGUGGAGGACCGAACACACGCCUGUUGAAAUAGUCGGUGAUGACUUGUGGUUAGCGGAGAAAUUCCAAACGAAUUCGGAUAUAGCUGGUUCUCCUCGAAAUAGCUUUAGGGCUAGCCUCGCAUAUAAUCCAUGUCGGUAGAGCACUAAAUGGCCUAGGGGGCUUCACAGCCUACCGAAGCUUAUUAAACUCCGAAUGGCAAGGAAUUGAGUGCGGGAGUCAGACAGCGACAGCUAAGUGCCGUUGUCAAAAGGGAAACAGCCCAGAUCUACAGCUAAGGUCCCGAAGUACAGGUUAAGUGGAAAAGGAUGUGACAAUGCAUAGACAACCAGGAUGUUGGCUCAGAAGCAGCCACGCAUUAAAAGAGUGCGUAAUAGCUCACUGGUCGAGUGAUGUUGCGCCGAAAAUUAACGGGGCUCAAACCUGACACCGAAGCUUAGGAAUACGCGAAGCGUAUUGGUAGAGGAGCAAUGUAUACGAGCGGAAGCCGUACCGGAAGGAGCGGUGGAUUGUAUAGAAGAGAGAAUGCCGGCAUAAGUAGCGAGAGCGGAGCGAGAAACUCCGCCGUCGAAAGUCUGAGGUUUUCCGGGGAAGGUUCGUCCACCCGGAGUAAGUCGGGACCUAAGCGGAGGCCGAAAGGCGUACGUGAUGGACAACAGGUUGAUAAUCCUGUACUACCGAGAGAGCUAAUGAAGCAGUGACACGGAAAGAUAGAAGAAGCGCGCAGAUGGAAAAGCGCGUCCAAGCAGUGAGGGAGGCUUGUAGUAAAGUACGCAAGUCAUAAUCCUGGGCUGUGACGGGGAGUGGACCAAGGAAACGAAGUCUUUGAAUCUACGCCGGCGAGAAAAGCUGCUAAAUGUUUCGAGGUACCCGUACCGCAAACCGACACAGGUAGACGAGAAGAAAAUUCUAAGACGAACGGGAGAACCCUUGUUAAGGAACUCGGCAAAAUGACCCCGUAACUUCGGGAGAAGGGGAGCCACAGAGAUGUGGCCGCAGUGAAGAGGCCCAAGCGACUGUUUAUCAAAAACACAGGUUUCUGCUAAGGCGUAAGCCAAGGUAUAGGAGCUGACUCCUGCCCAGUGCCGGAAGGUCAAGGGGAUCCGUCAGCGCAAGCGAAGCGGUGAACUUAAGCCCCGGUGAACGGCGGCCGUAACUAUAACGGUCCUAAGGUAGCGAAAUUCCUUGUCGGGUAAGUUCCGACCCGCACGAAUGGUGUAAUGAUCUGGGCACUGUCUCAAUUACCCGCCCGGCGAAAUUGUAGUACCGGUGAAGAUGCCGGUUACCCGCGACAAGACG